rnacentral:rRNA from 1 species
UGGGGAAUUUUGGACAAUGGGCGAAAGCCUGAUCCAGCAAUGCCGCGUGUGUGAAGAAGGCCUUCGGGUUGUAAAGCACUUUUGUCCGGAAAGAAAUCCUUGGCUCUAAUACAGUCGGGGGAUGACGGUACCGGAAGAAUAAGCACCGGCUAACUACGUGCCAGCAGCCACGGUAAUACGUAGGGUGCAAGCGUUAAUCGGAAUUACUGGGCGUAAAGCGUGCGCAGGCGGUUUGCUAAGACCGAUGUGAAAUCCCCGGGCUCAACCUGGGAACUGCAUUGGUGACUGGCAGGCUAGAGUAUGGCAGAGGGGGGUAGAAUUCCACGUGUAGCAGUGAAAUGCGUAGAGAUGUGGAGGAAUACCGAUGGCGAAGGCAGCCCCCUGGGCCAAUACUGACGCUCAUGCACGAAAGCGUGGGGAGCAAACAGGAUUAGAUACCCUGGUAGUCCACGCCCUAAAACGAUGUCAACUAGUUGUUGGGGAUUCAUUUCCUAGUAACGUAGCUAACGCGUGAAGUUGACCGCCUGGGGAGUACGGUCGCAAGAUUAAAACUCAAAGGAAUUGACGGGGUCAUAGCUGUUUCCU